rnacentral:rRNA from 1 species
UACAGAGGGUGCGAGCGUUAAUCGGAAUUACUGGGCGUAAAGCGCACGUAGGUGGCGACGUAAGUCGGGUGUGAAAGCCCCGGGCUCAACCUGGGAAUUGCAUUCGAGACUGCAUUGCUGGAGUACGGAAGAGGAAGGCGGAAUUCCCGGUGUAGCGGUGAAAUGCGUAGAUAUCUGGAGGAACACCGGUGGCGAAGGCGGCAUCCUGGACCGAUACUGACGCUGAGGAGCGAAAGCCAGGGGAGCAAACGGG